rnacentral:rRNA from 1 species
AGGACUUACAGUUGAAGGGCAUAUUAACGCAUCGUGCGACCAGCACGGUGUACACAUUUUURGUGCCUAUAUUUAUCCUUCAUUCA